GGGUAUAGCUCAAUGGUAGAGCACAUGCUUAGCAUGCAUGAGGUCCUGGGUUCAGUCCCCAGUACCUCCA
rnacentral:tRNA from 1 species